AUAGAACGCUGGCUGCAUGCCUUACACAUGCAAGUUGAACGGAAACAGGUCUUAGGAUGUUGAUGAGUGGUGAAGGGGAGAGUAAUACAUCGGCCUGUGACUAGCGAUGGGGGAUAACUAGCCGAAAGAGUGGCUAAUACAGCAUGAGAUCUGCGGUAGAAAGCAGGGGAUCGUAAGACAUGUUGAUACACGAGGGGGCGAUGGCAGAUUAGGUAGUUGGAGGGAUAAAAGCUUACCAAGCCGUCGAUCUGUAGCUGGUCUGAGAGGACGAUCAGCCACACUGGGACUGAGACACGGCCCAGACUCCUACGGGAGGCAGCAGUGGGGGAUUUUGGACAAUGGGCGCAAGCCGGAUCGAGCAAUGCCGCGUGCAGGAUGAAGGCCUUCGGGUUGUAAACUGCUUUUGUACGGAACGAAAAGCCCUGGGUUAAUACCCUGGGGUCAUGACGGUACCGUAAGAAUAAGCACCGGCUAACUACGUGCCAGCCGCCGCCGUAACAC
rnacentral:rRNA from 1 species